UACGGAGGGGGCUAGCGUUGUUCGGAAUUACUGGGCGUAAAGCGCACGUAGGCGGCUUUGUAAGUUAGAGGUGAAAGCCCGGGGCUCAACUCCGGAAUUGCCUUUAAGACUGCAUCGCUAGAAUUGUGGAGAGGUAAGUGGAAUUCCGAGUGUAGAGGUGAAAUUCGUAGAUAUUCGGAAGAACACCAGUGGCGAAGGCGACUCGCUGGACAAGUAUUGACGCUGAGGUGCGAAAGCGUGGGGAGCGAACAGG
rnacentral:rRNA from 1 species